UACAGAGGUCCCAAGCGUUGUUCGGAUUCACUGGGCGUAAAGGGUGCGUAGGUGGCUUGGUAAGUUUGACGUGAAAUCUCCGGGCUUAACCCGGAAAAUGCGUUGAAUACUAUUUGAGCUUGAGGUUUGGAGGGGGGACUGGAAUUCUUGGUGUAGCAGUGAAAUGCGUAGAUAUCAAGAGGAACACCAGUGGCGAAGGCGAGUCCCUGGACAACACCUGACACUGAGGCACGAAAGCUAGGGGAGCAAACAGG
rnacentral:rRNA from 1 species